AUGAAGAGGCAUCAUCAGAGGAAGGACUGCCAUCAGUUUUGCAGUGUAAGAAACAGGAAGGGAGCCAGACGGCAGGAAGUGAGAACGUGCUUCAGUGGCGGGUUCCAGCACUACGUUAGUGGCUAUGGGGAUAGAAGAGGCACCAGGACAGGAGCGCAUUCUCCCGGGGAUGCAGACCAUGCACAUCCCAGUCUCGCCACCAUGACACUUACAGAUACUGUGUGGAUGCAGCUGAAUUGACUGCAAAUGUGCUUAAAUUUUAGGAGAACACUGCAGAUUCAGGGAAACGUUACCGGAUGUUUAUCCCUGGCUCUUGUGGGGAAACUGCCUGCAGUUCUCCUCUAAACAACUUGAGAAAACUGAGAAAGAAAGAAAAAGUUACGGUGAGGACAAUGACACAGGACCUGAAAUUGAUCUUUUAGGGGGUUUGGCUUGAUUCUUUCUGAUAGGUGCAACAGUUUAGAGCUGGGCAAAUAAAUGCAAUUGCUUACCUGGUACAUCUGAUCUGAUUGUUACAAGAACUGAGAUAAAAACCCAACUCUUCACGACCCAUGUCAUCUUGAGCUCAGCAGCUGCCACCGACAGUCAAGCGCACAGUCCUGGCCCGAGUUCACCACGGGAGGUUCGAGUGUUUGCUUGAGGACUGCUCAGGAUGGAGACCUUUGGAAAGACACCAGCCAGAUGUCCAGGCGCACUCAGAGGGGUGGACAGCUGCUGCCUUGUUAUCCUGUAAUGUGAAGGGGCAUUCCAGACCCUUGGAGCUCAGUGGGCAGGGCACAGUCAUUCAGAUAUGGUGUUCAGCCUGCAGAGAUGGGGCAUGGUCACAGAGAGGACCUGGGGUAGCGCCAGUGUAGCUGAACGCUUGAGGAUUUCUAGCUAAGGUUUUAGAAAUUCUUGCUUUCCUCCCUGGCUCUUUGUUAAUGUGCUGUAUAAAUCCAUGCCCCAGAAGGGAUGGAAAGAAGGAGCUGGUGUGGAAAGAUGCCUGGCAGCUGUUCCCUCUGUGGCCUUUCACCUUCUGUAACUCCGCUCGGCCCUCAAGACAGGAGCAUGCCAGAGAAUUACUCCUUCCUGAAAAGCAGGAGUCGUUGGGAAUAUUCAAAUAGAGUAUUUAAUGGAGCCUCUUACAGACUGCUGUAGAAAACUAUCCUGGGGUUGAUUAGCAGAAACAUAGAAAUAAUAAAAGCUAACCACUACUUAGCAUCCUUUUCAAAGCAUUUCUGGACAGUUGCUCACCCGUACCUCUCUGCUCGACAGUAUUCUUAUUUACAAACGAUGAAACUGACUAGUCAGUUGAGGGGCUUACAAAGGUCACAGGCCUAGUGAUGGUGAGGCCAGAACUGGAGCCAGAUUCCUGCCUUCAAGUCCCCAUCUGUCCAUUUCCAUGCCAGCUUGCCUGCUGUCCAUCUGUUUUUGGACACUCCAGUCUGGUAGGGGCUGCUUGGGUGGUAGCGGCCCAAGAUCUCUGAACAUCCCAAGAGGUAAUGAUUGGCCCCGUAAGGCCUCCAGCACUGGGCGCCCUAAACAGGAUGCUGACCUCAUAGUCACUCCCCAGAAUAGGGCUUCAUCUCUCGUUUACACCUGGUUUCUCCAUCCCUUGAACAAAUACUUGCUGAAUUAAUUUGUUGCACUAUCAUUUCUCCGAGUAGAUUGUAAGGAAAAUGGACUGCAUUAUGGUCAACACUGCACCUGCCAUAUGAACUAUGAAGGAAAUUUUUUUUUUUUUUUUUGAGAUGGAGUUUCACUCUGUCACCCAGGCUGGAAGUGCAAUGGUGUGAUCUCAGCUCACUGCAACCUCCACUUCCCAGGUUCAAGUGAUUCUCCUGUUUCAGCCUCACAAGUAGUUGGAAUUACAGGUGCCUGCCACUAUGCCCAGUUAAUUUUGUAUUUUUAGUAGAGGUGGGGGUUUCACCAUGUUAGCCAGGCUGGUCUUGAACUCUGGACCCCAGGUGAUCCACCCUCCUCGGCCUCCCAAAGUGCUGGGAUUACAGGCUUGAGCCACCAUGUCCAGCCUGGAGGGAAUUAUUACAGUGAAUGUUUGGAUUGUUCUUAAGAGAUAAAUAAGUUUCAGAUCCUGGCUUUAUGCAUAAGUGGUCUUGGGACCUUGAGCUAGUUACUUAAAUCUCUCUGAAUCUCAGUUUCUCUUUCCUUUUCCUCCCUCCCUCCCUCCCCUCCUCCCUUCCUUCCUCUUUUCUUUUCUUUCUUUCUUUUCAGGGUUUUUUGCUCUGUCACCGAGGCUGGAGUGCAGUGGCCUUGACCUCCUGGGCUCAAUGAUCCUCCUGCCUCAGCCUCCCGAGUAGCAGGGACUACAGGUACAUACCACCAUGCCUGGCUAAUUUUGAAAUACUUUUAGAGAUGGGGUCAUACUAUGUUACCUAGGCUAGCCUUGAACUCCUGGCCUCAAGUGAUCCUCCCACCUAGGUCUUCCAAAAGCACUGGGAUUGUAGAUAUGAGCCAUCAUGCCUGGCCUGAACUUUAGAUUUAUUCUUUGUAAAAUGAGGAAUGCAGGAGUAUUGUAUAUGUUAAAAGAGAUAACAUACCUUGGGUGCUUCGCCUUUAUACAUUUACGAUUUUUGGUUCUCAUCGUAAACUUGAAUCACAUGGACUGCAAGGCUGAUCGGUACAGAUGAAGAGCUGGGGAAGAGCAAGCCACAGCCGCCUCAUUAUACGUCUGGAGAGCCAGAGCAUUCUUGCCCUGAUCUCUCACGUGUGUCCAGGUUCUCUUGGACAUGACGGGUUCUCAAAAAGCGGGGCAUGAUAGUCUUUCCUGCCCAUGGUCACACCCCACAGUGUGAACUGGUGGAUGUAUGAACUCCACAGACACUCUCCCAUCAAAAUAAUGACCAUGUAUUGGUCCCCCUUCUGAGGGGACUGUCUUAUUAAAAACCCGGGAAAUAUCGCAUGGUAUUUGUUGACUAAAGGAAUUUGUUUACCUCGAACCCUGUAUUUAAGUUAAACCAUGUGACAUUCGCUGGUGAUUUCCUUUGGCCCAACCCCAAUACUACUGAUUUUCUUCUCCACUUUCUGUAUCCUCAUUCACUCCACCCAUUCCAGCUCUUAAGCUGUUUGAACCCAGUUACCUUCAUUCUGACUUUUGAGCUAUAAUUACUUGUGUUUGCUGUUUGUCUUCAUAAUUAUUAAAUAU
rnacentral:lncRNA from 1 species